UGAUAACGUCUUAUUGCUAAAAGCCUGAAUGCUCCAGCUCGGAUAAAUUACUGCAAGCAGUCGAACAAUUCUACUUAUAAUACAAAAGAUACAUGAACGAAGAUGCUGUAAAGGUGAUGAUAUCGUCUUAUUGCUACAAGCCUGAAUGCUCCAGCUCGGAUAAAUGACUACAAGCAGUCGAACAAUUCUACUUAUAAUACAAAAGAUACAUGAACGAAGAUGCUGUAAAGGUGGUAAUUGCAAGAAGUCUAAGUGCUCCAGCUCGGAUAAAUUACUUCAAGCAGUCGAACAAUUUUACUUAUAAUACAAA